UGACAGGUUGAGCGUUUUCAGCUUUGCAGCU
rnacentral:piRNA from 1 species